UACGGAGGAUGCAAGCGUUAUCCGGAUUUAUGGGGCGUAAAGCGUCCGCAGGUGGCUAUACAAGUCUGCUGUUAAAGCGUGGGGCUUAACUCCAUACAGGCAGUGUAAACUGUAAAGCUAGAGUCUGGUAGGGGUCACGGGAAUUCCCAGUGUAGCGGUGAAAUGCGUAGAUAUUGGGAAGAACACCAGCGGCGAAGGCAGCUCGCUGGGACGGAACUGACGCUAAGGCGCGAAAGCGUGGGGAGCGAACAGG
rnacentral:rRNA from 1 species